GAUGAACGCUGGCGGCGUGCCUAAUACAUGCAAGUCGAGCGAACAGACGAGGAGCUUGCUCCUCUGACGUUAGCGGCGGACGGGUGAGUAACACGUGGAUAACCUACCUAUAAGACUGGGAUAACUUCGGGAAACCGGAGCUAAUACCGGAUAAUAUAUUGAACAGCAUGGUUCAAUAGUGAAAGACGGUUUUGCUGUCACUUAUAGAUGGAUCCGCGCCGCAUUAGCUAGUUGGUAAGGUAACGGCUUACCAAGGCGACGAUGCGUAGCCGACCUGAGAGGGUGAUCGGCCACACUGGAACUGAGACACGGUCCAGACUCCUACGGGAGGCAGCAGUAGGGAAUCUUCCGCAAUGGGCGAAAGCCUGACGGAGCAACGCCGCGUGAGUGAUGAAGGUCUUCGGAUCUUAAAACUCUGUUAUUAGGGAAGAACAAAUGUGUAAGUAACUAUGCACGUCUUGACGGUACCUAAUCAGAAAGCCACGGCUAACUACGUG
rnacentral:rRNA from 1 species